rnacentral:lncRNA from 1 species
CUUGAGAUUCCAGGUACCAGGAUGAUCGUCAGGUGACAUGUGUCCUCACAGCUAAACGUAGCAAUACAGACAAACAUGGUAUAGGCAAAAUUAACAUUACAUCAAACAUAAGAAUAAACUACAUAAUAAUGAUCUACGCGUCGCUACGAGAUCGUGGGAACAUAAACCACUAAAUUUGGAGUUACGGUUAAGAAGCUAUGAUUUAUUGAAGGUUUAAGUGUCGGAUACAAAAGAAACUAGGUACAUAAUUUUUAAUCUAUGUUUCAUGACAAACUGAGGUCACUAGAUGAUCAACAAUAUUUAAAUGAAUUUAAUGCAAUUGGAAUAGAUCAAUUUGGAGUUAAAAUGAAUUAAAUAUGAAUUAAACAAGUUUCAAGAUUUAUUUUUGCACUAAAAAUCCUUUUCCUAAAUUAAUUUAUUCCCUUUUAUUCGCUGAAUGGACUGGGGACACUAUUCUGCGGAAGAUUAGGGGUCAAGCUGCAAUUAUUCUAACACUGUUUUGGACUGCGGGUUUAUACCGAGAAAGGCCGGGGGCUCUUUUAAAAGAAGUGUACAGCGAAGGGGUAUCAUCCAAUCACGGCCGUCAAUACAGAGAUCAACGGCGGAUAUCAGAUCUGACCGAAACGUUACUAUCUUCUAAUCAGGAUCGUUCGUCACAAAUCCUACGGCACGGAUCAAACUCCGGUGGAAGGGUAAGCGUGCAUCUAUUACUGGCCAUCAGAUCGCCAUCUAACGGUGCGCACCCACCCGGAUUCGGACCAUCGAUCCCAAAAUCUACUGCCAGAUCUAAAUGGGCGAAAAGGUAUACUGCAACCCCAUCUCAUCCACCCAUUAACUGAUCUACGGCCACCACAAUCUCUCCUUUCUCUCUCUUUUUCCGGCCACCAGGCAGUAGUGCCAGCAGUGCAGUAGCGGCGGCGCCAUGGCCGAGAUUCACAUCAGGCGCCCAAGACUUUUCCGAAAGCGUGGUACAGGUAGAUUACGAGGGCAGCACGGCGAAUGCAAUGAGAUGGUUCUUACCGGAAGUGGUGGCAGGUACGGGGCGACCACGACUGCGUGCCCGCCAAUGGUGUUCUGCGACCCACCGAGGAGCAGAGGGGUACGGUGGAGCAGGAGCUUGGGAACGAGGGUGUGGAUUUGCUACCAUGGAUGAGCACGAUGUCCAAGAGCC